AUUGAACGCUGGCGGCAUGCCUUACACAUGCAAGUCGAACGGCAGCAUGAUCUAGCUUGCUAGAUUGAUGGCGAGUGGCGAACGGGUGAGUAAUACAUCGGAACGUGCCCUGUAGUGGGGGAUAACUAGUCGAAAGAUUAGCUAAUACCGCAUACGACCUGAGGGUGAAAGUGGGGGACCGCAAGGCCUCAUGCUAUAGGAGUGGCCGAUGUCUGAUUAGCUAGUUGGUGGGGUAAAGGCCCACCAAGGCGACGAUCAGUAGCUGGUCUGAGAGGACGAUCAGCCACACUGGGACUGAGACACGGCCCAGACUCCUACGGGAGGCAGCAGUGGGGAAUUUUGGACAAUGGGGGCAACCCUGAUCCAGCAAUGCCGCGUGUGUGAAGAAGGCCUUCGGGUUGUAAAGCACUUUUGUCCGGAAAGAAAUCGCACUUACUAAUAUUAGGUGUGGAUGACGGUACCGGAAGAAUAAGGACCGGCUAACUACGUG
rnacentral:rRNA from 1 species